UACGGAGGAUGCAAGCGUUAUCCGGAUUCAUUGGGUUUAAAGGGUGCGCAGGCGGAGAGAUAAGUCAGUGGUGAAAAACUGCCGCUCAACGGUAGUCUUGCCAUUGAUACUGUCUUUCUUGAGUAUGGAUGAGGUAGGCGGAAUGUGCAGUGUAGCGGUGAAAUGCAUAGAUAUUGCACGGAACACCAAUUGCGAAGGCAGCUUACUAUGCCUUUAUUGACACUGAUGCACGAAAGCGUGGGGAG
rnacentral:rRNA from 1 species